CAGUCGCCACGGGAAUACGUAGGGUCCGAGCGUUGUCCGGAAUUACUGGGCGUAAAGAGCUCGUAGGUGGUUUGUCGCGUUGUUCGUGAAAACUCACAGCUUAACUGUGGGCGUGCGGGCGAUACGGGCAGACUAGAGUACUGCAGGGGAGACUGGAAUUCCUGGUGUAGCGGUGGAAUGCGCAGAUAUCAGGAGGAACACCGGUGGCGAAGGCGGGUCUCUGGGCAGUAACUGACGCUGAGGAGCGAAAGCGUGGGGAGCGAACAGGAUUAGAUACCCGUGUAGUCCCUGUCUCUUUACA
rnacentral:rRNA from 1 species